CCUACGGGGGGCAGCAGUGGGGAAUAUUGGACAAUGGGGGGAACCCUGAUCCAGCCAUGCCGCGUGUGUGAAGAAGGCCCUCGGGUUGUAAAGCACUUUCAGUGAGGAAGAACGCCUGGUGGUUAAUACCCAUCAGGAAAGACAUCACUCACAGAAGAAGCACCGGCUAACUCCGUGCCAGCAGCCGCGGUAAUACGGAGGGUGCGAGCGUUAAUCGGAAUUACUGGGCGUAAAGCGCGCGUAGGUGGCUUGAUAAGCCGGUUGUGAAAGCCCCGGGUUCAACCUGGGAACGGCAUCCGGAACUGUCAAGCUAGAGUGCAGGAGAGGAAGGUAGAAUUCCCGGUGUAGCGGUGAAAUGCGUAGAGAUCGGGAGGAAUACCAGUGGCGAAGGCGGCCUUCUGGACUGACACUGACACUGAGGUGCGAAAGCGUGGGUAGCAAACAGGAUUAGAUACCCCAGUAGUC
rnacentral:rRNA from 1 species